rnacentral:rRNA from 1 species
GUGUCAGCAGCCGCGGUAAUACGUAGGGGGCUAGCGUUGUCCGGAUUUAUUGGGCGUAAAGAGCGUGUAGGCGGCCAGGUAGGUCCGCUGUGAAAGUCCGAGGCUCAACCUCGGAAUGUCGGCGGAAACCCUCUGGCUAGAGUCCGGAAGAGGAGAGUGGAAUUCCCGGUGUAGCGGUGAAAUGCGCAGAUAUCGGGAAGAACACCCGUGGCGAAGGCGGCUCUCUGGAACGGUACUGACGCUGAGACGCGAAAGCGUGGGGAGCGAACAGGAUUAGAUACCCUGGUAGUCC